CCAGGAUGACUUAGAGCUCACUGUCAACCCUAUAAUUAGUACAUCCAUUAUGUGAUUAACUUUAGAUAUCCCGUGACUCCUCACUGAGAUUAUCCUGGCCAAGAUUUUGCUAAAUUAAUCACAAGACAUUAUCUCCUAUUUCCAGGAGGGAUCAAUUCCAUCUCGACUCACAACUGACACGCAAGUACUUGACUGCAUCCAGUGACCUUCCGUCACUGAAUUAGAAAUCUAGGUAGUUCGGUACCAAAGUACAAUGAGUUGCUUUUUAGCCACAGGUUGCGGUCUCAGGUCAGAGGGCCAAACUUAUAUCCAUAUCCACUUGAAACA
rnacentral:lncRNA from 1 species